rnacentral:lncRNA from 1 species
AAAAUUAUAACCUAGUUAACUACAAGUCUAAAAAUAACUUAAAUAGGGUUAAAACAACAAAACCUUAUGGUAAACAAAAGUGAGGGACUAAUAUUGUCAAAACUUAAACUUAUAUUACUAAAUUAGUGAAAACAAAACCAAAUACCCCAUAAUUGAGGUGUCUGGUCGUACAAGAAGCAGGAGGGCGACAAGGGUUCUUCACCAAACCCUAACUCUCACAAAAAUUGAUCAAUUGAAGGAUCAAAUCAAGUCCAAAACGAAAAUCGAGCAUAGAUUAAUGAUCCCCAUUGUAAGGAGAUCAUAAGUACGGAAAGAAAAGCGAGGCAUGGAUGCAAGGUAAGUGAAACUUACACCUUUUAGUAAAAUAAAUGUUCAUCCUAUAAGUUUCAAAUACACUAAGAAUAAUUUUCAAGAUAUGGUUCCCGACGCGAAAUAAUACGGGUCAGAACUAACAUAAAUGAUAAAAACCAUGUUUAAUGGUAAAAGAGAUAGAACGAGAUAGAACGGUAAAUUAGCCAUGAAAAGCUAAUUAUAAAAAUGGGUUUUUGAACGGCAACUAUAAGUAAGCCUAAUGAAUAAAAAGAGUAAAACGGGUCAAAUAGUAAUGUGGAUACCAUUUGACAAAUAUCGACUAAUAAGCACUUGUCGAGUAUUAUGCUUACAGGAUAAAGUAGCUUAUGAAUUAGCGUUGCUAUGAAUUAGCAAAUUUUCGAGACAAGGUAUUAAAAUGGGUCAAUGUAUUGAUCCGAGCCAGGUACGUGUAAUUAUGUUAUAGUUAAAAGUGAUUAAAGCAUGGAUAUUGCUUCGUAACAUGAUUGAUUGUUCUAUUGUUGACAAUUGAAUAUUGACAUAUUAAAACACGAGAAUUUAAUAUGUUGGUUGUUAGAAUAAAAGAUUCGAGAAAUUGGUAUGGGCAACACAAACAAAACAGUCAAAAACUUACAUGUGCAGAGGCUACCGUAAGUUACGGUACCACCGUAACUUACGGUAGAGGUCAGAAGGCUACGGUAAAUUACCCCUGUGUUACGGUGGAACCAGAGUUUUCCAGAAGCCACCGUAACUUACGGUGACUACCGUAAGUUACGGUGGAGCCCUAAAAUUGAAUAUUGAACUUUGUCUAUUUUCUGAAAU